AGAAAGUACCUCACAGAUGAGCACAAGGUCAAGAAAGGAUGCAUCUUGGAGGCUUCCAGGUGGACCAUCGGCUGAAUGAGAACUAAUGCAAUUCCUAAACAGGUGAAUGGCAAUGACUGUGGAGUUUUUGUCUGUAAAUAUGCAAACUUCCUUUCUCAAGGAAAGCCACUCACAUUCAGAGAGUGUGACAUUCCACUCUUCAGAAAAGUGGUGGUUUGGGAGAUAAUACAUCAGAAGAUCCUGUAAGCCCUGAAGCAACCA